AGUAGAUCAAAUAUAUAGGGUUGAAUAGUUAAAUCAUCAUGAAGCCCUUCAACUCUUUUGCUUGAAAGCCUUUAAGAAAGAUUGUCCACCACAAGAUUACAUGGAGCUAUCCAACAAAGCUGUAAACUAUGCAGGUGGCCUCCCAUUAGCGCUUAAUGUAUUGGGUUCCUCCUUGUUUGCUAGAUCUGUGAAAGAAUGGAACAGUGCAU
rnacentral:misc_RNA from 1 species